rnacentral:tmRNA from 1 species
GGGGGCGUACUGGUUUCGACGGGGAUGUCGGUGGCGGGAUAAGCGAGCCGUGGUUCCGGUCACCACGUUAAACAAUCGGGCGUAAAUAUAAACGCUAGAAAUAAUACUCAACCUGUAGCCGCUUAAUUGCGGCUUCCGCCGGCCCGCGCCGCCUGCAGGAGCGGUUUACCGGCGUCAUAAUUGCAGGGAACGCCAUUAUCCAAAGCUUUGAGGGUAAGGUGUAAAUAUGAAGCUACCCGACUUCGGCCUUUGUCAUUUGAGGCCGGAGAGCGGGGAAUAAAAGCAACUGACUGCGCUCGGAGAAGGUCCCGCAUCCGCAUUUUCGGACAGGGGUUCAAUUCCCCUCGCCUCCACCA